rnacentral:ncRNA from 1 species
UGUAAGUCAUAAGACGGUCGGAAGCGGACUGAACCACUGGGAGUAUUAUUGUGCAAUAGAGUCGACCGUCUGGGCGAAUUAU